AUACGUAGGGGGCAAGCGUUAUCCGGAUUUACUGGGUGUAAAGGGAGCGCAGACGGUGAAGCAAGUCUGAAGUGAAAGCCCGCGGCUUAACUGCGGGACUGCUUUGGAAACUGUCUCACUAGAGGGCUGGAGAGGUAAGCGGAAUUCCCAGUGUAGCGGUGAAAUGCGUAGAUAUUGGGAAGAACACCGGUGGCGAAGGCGGCUUACUGGACAGUAACUGACGUUCAUGCUCGAAGGCGUGGGGAGCAAACAGGAUUAGAUACCCUGGUAGUCCACGCGGUAAACGAUGAAUACUAGGUGUUGGCAUCCGAAGGAUGUCGGUGCCGUCGCUAACGCAAUAAGUAUUCCACCUGGGGAGUACGUUCGCAAGAAUGAAACUUAAAUGAAUUGGCGGG
rnacentral:rRNA from 1 species